GGAGAGGUCGCAUAGCUUGGCUUAGUGCGCAUGCCUGGAAAGCAUGUAUACCGCAAGGUAUCGUGGGUUCGAAUCCCACCCUCUCCGCCA
rnacentral:tRNA from 1 species